AAUUUUUUACAAUGGGGGAAACCCUGAUCCAGCCAUCCCGCGUGUAUGAUGAAGGACUUCGGGUUGUAACGUACUUUUGGCAGCGAAGCAAAGGUAUCCCCUAAUACGGGAUACUGCUGACGGUAUCUGCAGAAUAAGCACCGGCUAACUACGUGCCAGCAGCCGCGGUAAUACGUAGGGUGCAAGCGUUUAUCGGAAUUUCUGGGCGUAAAGCGUGUGUAGGCAGUUCGGAAAGAAAGAUGUGAAAUCCCAGGGCUCAACCUUGGAACUGCAUUUUUAACUGCCGAGCUAGAGUAUGUCAGAGGGGAGUAGAAUUCCACGUGUAGCAGUGAAGUGCGCAGAUAUGUGGAGGAAUACCGAUGGCGAAGGCAGCCCCCUGGGAUAAUACUGACGCUCAGACACGAAAGCGUGGGGAGCAAACAGG
rnacentral:rRNA from 1 species